UAUGCUGGUGACAAUAAAAUUCCAGAUGGUUAAUGAUGCAAUGAACAACAAAAUCUCCGAGAAACCAUUCACCGUCACUGUUAGAAACAUGAUACAGCCAUGCUCAGUAUUGGAUUUCCUUCACCUAACAUGCUCCAUGAUUUACCCAUUAUUUGAAUGCAAAACCACGAUUAUUGGAUACAAUAAGGUCAUAAUAUGUUUUAUUAGAGUGAAAUCUGUCAUAUAUUUCAAAACUGUAAGGAAAUAUCAUGUGUAGCCAAAUUUCAGAAAAAGUUACAAAACAUUUUCAAAACUCCUUCAAUCAUUGCCGAUUGCAUUUGACAAAAAAAAAUCAUCAUUAAAUCUCAGUUCAAAUGUUAAAUAAAUAAACGAAAAAUGUCAAAACAUUAAUAGUAUUGCAUCCUGUUUUAUUGUUUUUAUACCUCAACGCUGAAAAAAUGUAAGUAAAUACAGACGUAGCCCAUCCACUGAUGUCAACGGGUGAGUAGAGAAUGUGUGACGCAAGUCGCAACCCUAGGGUGUAGGUCUACUCUACAAUGUCUAUAAUUAGCAACAGUGAAAUGAUUCUUUGUUAAAGCCAAGAUUUUGCUCCUAUGCCUAGGCGUGUUAGAUUUCUUUACUUACUUUAAAAACAUUACAGUUAGCAAUCACAUCUUUAUAUUAACAAUUACUGGCCAGAAUGAAAUUAUUCACAUGUUCUUGCACUUCAAGUUCCCUUAUGAAUGAAAAAAUGAUACACCAAUAGUGACCAGAAGGACUUAAAAAAAAAUUGAAGUCAGUUAAAAAACAAAGUGCCUUGAUGCCUUGAUAUUGAUAUUAAUAGACAUUUUGAGUCAUAGCCACCUUCUCCAUAUAAUUAAAAUCAUUAUCAUCUUUUAUUCUUCAAAGAACAGUUAAUCUCUACAAAUAAAUUCUUUAGUAACAGAAGGCUUCGAUUAUUUUUUAGGCCUAUAAAUCAUUCCGCAUCCAACAAGCAGCUUGAACACAGUCUAAAACUUUAGCAUUCAAAGAAAAGUUGUAAUUCAUAUUCCUAUCUUGAAAAGUUCAUGACUGUUGAACUUAUUAUGAAUUAUAAUGCUGGCAUUAUGCUGCAGAGGUAGUAGUUACAAUUGACCAGCGUGUUAUCCGCACAUUGACGCUACUGCUAACCUUACCGGCUAAGCGAUGUAAAAAAAAAAAAAAAAAAAAAAUGUGUUAAAAUCACACGGAUCAUGAAUUAAACCAAUGCAUAAAAGGGAUCAUAUUUAUAUAACCAUAAGGAAAAAAGUGCUAGUUGUGGAUUUGCAAAAUUGUCGACAUCCAUGACAUUACAAAUGAAAAGAAAAGUUUAACAGUAGCUACCUGGCAACAUUACGUUGAGUCAAAGAUUCUGGACGAUACAAAAAGAAGAUUCGUGUUGCAUGACUUGCACCAGAUUUGAGCAUAGCUCUACUAAAAUUAACUGCUCAUGUAAAAAUAUGGUUUUCAGUUUGAAACCCAGUGGUGUGGGUAUUAACUUCAUUAUCAUCAUAAUCCUAUGCAAUACAGUAUCAGUGGUGUUUUACAGUCGCUCGUGCACCCAAUCCAUAGCUCAUUCUUAAAAUCGUAAUAUCUUGAAACGUAGGCUAUUCUUACAAGGCAAGUUAUCCAGUGGCUAUGUUUGGUCAUCCUCGGGAGAACAAAAACUCCGAUCAUUCGAAAUCCCCUCGGCCCCAUUCAACUUCCAGUGAUUGCUUAUAACAUGUUGAGGUGUGUAUGAUAAUGCUGCCGAAAUGAAAUGGUCUAGGAACUCCUUUUCGUAGAUGCAUGAUGGGACAAAUGCUGACCAAUAGGAGAGCAGGAUCUUACGGCGAUGACUAGCAUCAGGAACCAACGGGAGAGCGGAAGGAUGGUGGCGAGUCUACUGAGUUGGCAGCGUGCAAGUUUUAAAAUUGUUCUCGGCAGCCGGGGCAAAUCUUGGACUUUACAGUACGUACACCCUUUCGCAACCUGAAUUAUUUUCAUACACAAAAGCAAAAAAAUCUUCGUCUUUGCCUUCGUAACCUGGAUUUUUCGUAUGUAGGGACUUUCGUAUGUAGGGGUAUGACUAUUAUAAAGAUACAGCUUAA